AGUUGUAUUUAUUUGGCAUGACAACCUCUAGUAUCAACUUCUUUCAUCAGGCUAAAAGGAAGGAAGGAAAGACUUCGUUUACAAAGCUCUGCUGUUGCUGGCACUAAUAUUUUAACAAUCAAAAAAGAGUUACAUCUGGAGAGGAACAACACCAACAGCUGCAAAGUCUGUCCUGUUCUCAGAGGAGCUUUCAGCAGAAUAAAUUAUGAAGCAGCAGUAAGCUCUCUGUGGGGUGUUAAAGAUUUGAAUCAGACUGAUUUUGAAGAAAAAACAGCAUGCAACCGUUCACCUCUAGUCAGCUUUACGAAGCCAAGGACUCUCUUUUGCGAUAUCCCACACUCUGGCUGUAACCCUGCCCAAGAUUUGCACAGUCAGCAAGACCUUCAUCUGGUACUUUCAAGGGAAGCGUUUGAAAUUCAAGAAACAUACUUGUCCAAUUUUUUCAUUUAUUUAUUUACUUAUGGCCAAUAAUUUUUAUUUUUUUAUUGUUAAAUAGCCUUUAAUUAAAAUUAUUCAAGUACAAAUUUCUUCUAUGAAAUUCUAUGAAAU
rnacentral:lncRNA from 1 species